AAUACACCCUACAAGCUCUCCAAAAAAAAGGAUGAAAUAAAAUAAUAAUAGCAAUAAUAGAAAUUUCAAAACGAUACUAUAAACCUUUUAGGCCACAAUUGACCGAUAAAUGCUUUCAUAAAUGGCUCAAUAUUGAACAUUUUGGUCUAUCCCUUACAACCAAUAAAAACUGAAGAAGUUUUAUGUAGCCUCUGCUUCAGAGGCUUCCAAGUUCCGAAGGAGCUUCCCUAAGUGCUAUUCAGCUUGAUUGGAAGGGAUCUUUUAUUUUAUUUUAUUUUUUUAAGUUUCAGGUUUUUUUCGUUUAUGCUUUUUGGUUAUUUGAUUUAGGUGGAUACUUAUCCUCCAGGCUGUACUCUCCUCCGUUUUCCAAUAAAUUUUAUUUUGCUAUCCAAAAUUAAGAAUAUGAGAGUAGCAAAAUGAAUGAAACGGAACAUUAUUGCAUUAUUUACAUUAUCUCCUGGAUCAAGAUGUGCUUCUGCAUGUUUUAAUAGCUUGAUAUCAGUGAAUCUUCUACAAAUAUGCAAGUUAGUGCAAAACAUAAUGAAUUAGUUCUGAUAAUUCAACCACCAGUUGAUUUUCUAUGACACACAUGUAAACACAACCAUCUGCCCGUUAUGAUUCCAACAAUGAGGCAAAACUAUAAU
rnacentral:misc_RNA from 1 species